rnacentral:misc_RNA from 1 species
UCUCCGUUGGUGAACCAGCGGAGGGAUCAUUACCGAGUGCAAACUCAUAACCCUUUGGGAACCCAUAUCUGUUGCUUCGGCGGCUCGCUCUCGGGCGAGCCCGCCGGUAAUAUCAGUAUCUCUGUUUGAACCCGACGAUACUUCUGAGUGUUCUUAGCGAACAGUUAAAACUUUUAACAACGGAUCUCUUGGCUCUA